AGUGAACGCUGGCGGCGUGCUUAACACAUGCAAGUCGAACGAGAACGGAUUAUAGCUUGCUAUAAUUGUCAGCUAAGUGGCGCACGGGUGAGUAAUGUAUAGGUAAUAUGCCUCUUACUAAGGGAUAACAAAUGGAAACGUUUGCUAAUACCUUUACUCCUUAUUAACAGAAGUUAAUAAGGGAAAGAUUUAUUGGUAAGAGAUUAGCCUGUAUUGUAUCAGUUAGUUGGUGGGGUAAUGGCUUACCAAGACUAUGACACAUAACUGGUUUGAGAGGAUGAUCAGUCACACUGGAACUGAGACACGGUCCAGACUCCUACGGGAGGCAGCAGUGGGGAAUAUUGCACAAUGGACGAAAGUCUGAUGCAGCAACGCCACGUGGAGGAUGACACAUUUCGGUGCGUAAACUCCUUUUAUAUGAGAAGAUAAUGACGGAAUUAUAUGAAUAAGCACCGGCUAACUCCGUGCCAGCAGCCGCGGUAA
rnacentral:rRNA from 1 species